GUAACAUGCGAGCCUGAGCUUCUUUAGGCAGUCCAUCAUAGUGUGAAGUUCAAAUGGAAAAACAAAUGUAGCCCAAUUGAAUACAAGUAGGCAGUGAUUAUGGGCAAUUAUCACCUGGAUCUUGGAACAUCCAAUUCUCUGACAGGCUAAAAGCUGCCAGACGCACAUUCUUAUCCUAGUAGCUGACUUGCUUCUGAGCACCAUCGGUUGUUCCUGUUUCAGAGCACUCAUUUUAAGUCAAAACUGCAGGUGCAUGAUUAAGAAGGCUAACACAGUCUUGUGGCCUCAUUCUUUGCAGGCAAAGGCCCUUGGAGAGAAAAUGCUACUCUGCUUUUCUGAGAAGAAGAUACGCAGCAGGCUGGAGACUAUAGGAUUUCCUGUCUACCUGCUUCAUUCCAUUGACAAGACACAGACAGUUAGGUUGCAGUUCUAUGUCCAUCUAUUUGGAAAAGAGGAAAACUACUGCUGUUCACAAGUCUUAAUUCCAAGGGGCUGAAUCGAGACAUAGUCAUGCUUAUAGUAGGCAAAUUGAAAUAAUGGAGACAAGUAAGCUAUUACUAGCUCAUGUUUCUUUGAUUUUAAUGGGACUGUUCAAUCCAGUAAGCCUGGAUUCGACCCAGUAAAUGUGUUUAGGACUGCAGCACCAACCACUGAUUACAAGGAAUUCUUGCAAUCACACACGUACAAAUGCUUUAUGAAACAGCAUUGAUAUCCUUUUUGUGAUUAAGGACCUGGUCCUAAAAUUGGAAUUUGGAAGAACAGUCCUUUUGUUAGUUGAGUCCAACAUGGUGUGGACCGAACUGAAAGAAGAACCUUGGUCUAACCAACACCUACCUCCAAAGAACUGAUUUAAAUGAUACCUUACUAUCUAAAUCAACAACUUGGUUUUUCACAUCUGCAAUAGUUUCUUGAUUGUUCGUUCCAGAUGACUUCAGUGGUUUUUCUCUGUUCUGCAAUGAAAUCAUUCCCCAUCAGAAGGUCUGCCUAUAAAAGAUAACCCUGCUGUAAUAUUACUGUUCUACUGGAGGACUUCUCCUCCCAAGAGCUAUUGCUCCCAGCAAUGGUGGAUGCCAUGGAAGCCUCCAAAUCAGGAGAGAGAGCACAGCUUCAUCCAUUGAGACAGAGGCUGCAUGACCCAGAGGGCAUCCGCACUUUAAGAAGUAAAUCAGGGUUCCUUUAAGAAGGACUCCUCAAGAAGAGGGCUCUUCUUAGAAUGUGCUGCAGCUGAGCCUUGUCUGAGGGGAUGGUUCUUAGUCUAGCCUUUGCUGACAACAGUGCUGGUUCUUCAGCAAUUUGUUCUUAAUAUUGUGGUUCCCUGAUUUGGACUUGUGCUUUUGUUUUUGACCUUUGGACUUCUGCCUGAUGCUGCCUUCUGGACUUUGAUUUUGCAUAACUAAACAGUGAGUGUUUGACCUUGGCUGUUCCUCUGACUCUUUGAUGAAAAAUCCAUGUGUUCACCAGUGUAACUGUCCCUGUCUUUUGCUUGCUUGAUUUCUCUAUUGUAAUCAUCUCUGUGUUUUGCAUAGAAAGAAAUGAAACUCGUUGAAGUAAAACUCUUAGCCUGAAUCAAACCAUCCAUCCAUCCAACUCAAUUCUGUCACCUUUUUAACUGCUGGCAGGAUCUGUUUUCAGGGUAAUCACAGCUGGAAAGCAUAAAAUUAAACUUGUCUCUCAGCACUACAGCUUCAAUCCAGAUUGGGGCAUAAACAGAGGUCUGCUACAUAGUAAGUAAAAUAAGAUGUUUGGACUGACCAAGGGAGCAGAUCCUGCCUGUGUGUCACUGAUGGCAUCCAUUUUCCAGAUAAUCAUGCUGAGUAAUUUUAUCAUCUCCACGUUGAGUGCAUAUAGAUAUCUAUAUUCUCCUACCUAUGUUUAGUGCUAAGCAGUUAAUAAUCCAAAGACCUUUAUCUGCAGCUGGUGAAAAUAUCCCCCACACUGGACACCAUGAUCAAUCCAUGCUGAACAUCUCUUUUACAUUUGAACAAAAUACACAAGGGCACGAAUGUACCUGAUGAGUUCUUGACCAACUCUCAGGGUUGCAUCUCAUAUUAGUCUAACCUAAGCCCUAUUCAUUUCAAUGGGACUACUCUGAUGUUGGACUACUGUUGGAUACAGUCUGGUUCCCAUGAUAAUUGCAAACCACUGUGGAGUAUUAGUCAUCAUGAUUUGUGGCACCCAUGGUUCCAGGUUGGCAAUUCAAGCACGUGCUGUUACAAUUUCUCAUUAUGCAGAAACUUGGUGGGGUGGGUUGUUGAGUGGCUGAAAAGCUACACAGGAAGCUACCCAUGGGCUGUUUUAGGGUUGUGGGUGGUUUGGGUUUUGAACUAUGCCAACUCCCCUUUUCUGUGCUUGCCCUUAACAAAAGGCUAUGGUGCAUCCCAAAUAUUCAAAUUGGCUACUACUAGCUUGAUAGGCUUCUUGUUAUGUGAACAUGGCAAUUAAGUACUGAUCUUGUGUGUGGAUUGUGUCCAUUAUUAUUUUCUUAGAAACAUCUGCUACAUUAGUAGGCAAAAAUGGAAAUCUAUAAAAAUCAUGGAUUUCCCCAAAUUUCUCAGUUCAUCCUUUGGUGUAAAAUUGGAAUAAGUCCACAAAAAAGGAAGUAUGGAGAACUUCCUGUUGACAUUGUUUCUCAGAAGGCUCAAUAUGUACCUUUUGUCCCUGGCCACCCAAUUACCCAAUCUGCAGAUAUGGAAGACAACAGUGCCAUGAACCUACAAACUUUACCACUAGCAGAAAUCAUGUGCCAUUAAAUGAACACAGCCAGUAUUCAAAGAUAUGUUGUACACUGAGAAUCACCACUGUUGUUAAAUCAAUAAAAGGAAAUUAAAGAUGGCAAUGUUGUCCCCAUCAAGCUUUAUGAAUUUUAGCCAGAGUCAAUUUCAAUCAAUGUUAAUGCUACCGCCCUCGCAACAUUAAUUGAUCUCUGGGACUUGCCAUUUUUAAUGGGAACAUUGUUUAUGAGCCCCCUUUUCUCAAAUGUAUUUAUUUAAAUUCUAUUCUGCCCAAGAGCAGAACCUCUCUGAGCAGUUCACAACAGCACAUUAAAAAACACAAUUUAAAUACACCAUAUUAAAACAUAACAAAACGUUUACAAUACAAGGUAGUUCCCAGAACUUGAUCAUACUGGCUGGGUAGCAGAAGUGUUCCAUCAGGUAUCGUGGUCCCAAUCUCUGUAGGGUUUUAUAGGUUAAAUCCAGUGCCUUGAAUUGGACUUGGAAAUAUAUAGGCAGCCAGAACAAGCUGGCCAGAACUGCUGUUAUGUGAUCAGGCUGUCUGAUCCCUGUGGAUCAUUGCCAGAACAGCAUUGAGCUAUAGUAAGCCAUCAUCCUUAUUUUCUUUUAUUGAUUUUGAUUUCACUGAAUACCAUAAACUUGUGAUCAUUUGUAAAUUAGCACACCACUUUUUUUUCCAAGAUGCUUUUUCACUCCAAACUGAACAGCCUUGAUUAAAUUCUGGCAAUGUAUUCACAUGGGUAACAUUUUCCUCCUGCUGCAGGCUGCUUUUGUGUCACCUCGGAUCUCCAGUUCUAGGCUUCCAAAUGCAAAACUGUUUUGAAAUUCAGCUCCAGCAGAGAUCAAUGAAAGGCUGGGAAUGGAAGAAAUUGCGCACAGAAGGCUACAUGAAUAAACCUGGUGUGUUUGCUUCCUAUGUCAGGGGGAACAGUCUUUCUGCCAGCAACAUUUGGGCCAUUUUCCUAACAACUUUUCAACCAACUGCUUUGGUAUUCUACGUAACCUCUAAGUAAUUCUGUUGUGUAUGGGUGGGUAUAUAUCCUACUUGCCCUACUCAAUGAAAGUUUUUUUAUUGAUUUCAGUGAGGAUAAGAGUAUUUUGUUAAUGAAUUAAUUACUGAUAAUGGCUACUGGAUAGUUCCUGGGGUGCUGUGCAUAUUCAUUUUCUUAUGCUCCAUACGUUUCCAACUUAUUCUGUGCACCUGGUAGUCUGAUCCCAGAAAUCUGCCUCACCCCACCUUUUCAUUCUUUUAGGACUGUAGGAUCUAUUCGAAGGUGUUGAGAAAAUUAAUUUUCUAGUAGCAAUAAAAAAAAAAAAAUAAAAAAAAGAUCAAAUUGUACAGGUUUUUUUUUUCAAGUUUUCACUUAAAUCAGCUUUAAAAAAAAUAAGUGGCAUGAACAGAAGGAUUUACUUCAAAUAUUAAUAAUAAUAUGCAGGUCUGAAUUUGGGUUGAAACAUGAUCUGCCCCGUUCCAUUUCAGAAUCCAUACCAUGUGGAGCAAACACUGGAUAGCUGGCUGGCUGGCUGUGUAUCAUAUAAUUAAUCAUGGACAUAAGAUUCAUGUGCACGGAGACUUAAGUUUUGGUUGUAUUAUCAAUUUGUAUUAUGCCACUUUCAAGCACUUUACCACUGCAGCCUUACUCAAGGCCUUUAUAUACAAUCACAUUAUUGGGGCUAAGUUAGAACUCUUUGAUGUCCCUAUUUGAUGUCCCUCUAGCUAAAAUCAAGCAAUUGUAUGCUAUGUGUCCAAAGAUGCAUGAAAUGUUUCCCACUCAACAAGAAUCUAAGACAGACACCAUGUGAUGUUUACUCCUCAGCUGAGCCCAUUUAUAGCUGUAUUACUCACCACUGUCCCCGUUAGUAUACAGGACCUUAAAAAAUAAUAAAACAUGCCCUUUAUACAGUUUCAAAUGAUGAGUGAUUGCUGAAUUAUACUCUUAAAGCUUCUUUAUAUGUUGUCCUCUGGGUAACAUGCAAGAGCUAUUGUAUUUGCAUGGACAAAAGUUUGCAAUUAAAUCACUUAUUGGACAGUUUAAGUGAAUGAAAUGAGGACAUGAGGUUUCAUAGUAGCAAUGCUAGUAAAAGAGAAUAGGAUUUUUUUUUCCUUUAGUCCAGGGUGGGGACGGGGGAAAGGGGAUCCUUCAGAUGUUGUUGGACUGAAACUCCCAUCAACCCUUGCCAGCACACACACUGGUGAAUGAAACUGGGAGCUGUAGUCGAACAACAUCUGGAGGGCCAGAUGUUUGUUAUCCCUGCUUUAGAUACAGGAAAAGUGUUUGUUCCCUUAGCAUUUAGACAAUAGUUUCAACAAAUAAACCUUUCUGAGGAAAAGGAGAUAAAAUAACUGUGCAAUUAUAUUUAUGCCUGCUGAGAAACCCACUGAGAGCAACAGGAUGUAUGGCUGAGCACAGGAUUGCAGCUGAAAUUCAGUAAAGUACAAACAGAAUGCAGUUCAAAUAUUCUUGCAUUAUGAAUUACAGCAAAGAAAGUUAGCAUCUGUCCAUUUAUUUUUCUCUGGCCUGAGCAGGAAUUUACCUUUGGCCUCUGCUUAGAAAUAACCUAGUGUGGUAAUGGAGUAUGAGCAACUUUUUCUCACUUUGGCUUCAAGUUUAUGCAAGACUGGAAAUUUUGUCAUGUGGCAGGCAAGAAAUGUUUUCCCUCAGGAGAAGGUAAUGGCAAGUGUUGGGAGAUACAGCUUUACUCAGAUGGUUCUUCUCCUGGUGCAUUUCUUCUUUUCAGCUGGCAACAUGGUUUGACACCACCUUCCUAUCCAAAGGAAUGCACAGCUGUUUCUAGUACUCAGAUCAAAGAGCACAGUUCCUGUAGCAAUAUUAAGCAUAUUAUCAUCAUCAUGUUUAAACCACCAAGGGGGAAAGGCUCCUUCAGUAGAAUAGGCUGUGUUAUUUCUUACUGAUCCACAAUUGCUAGUUUUUAAUUCACACAUUUAAUUACCUAUGUAGUUCUGAGCUAGGCUAUGGAAGGGUGGGUGAUCCAGUUGAAGGUCUGUUUAAAAGCAAAAUGAACAGGUUCUGGUUGUUCUGUUUUUAAAGCCUCCAGAAAGCUCUUGUAAUGAUGGAUCCUUCGACUUUCUUUUUGGUCCCUGCUGUUCCUAAGCAACAGAUGUAUGUAGACUGAUGCCAAAAAAGGAAGAAAAAAAACUCUUUUCUAUUGCUGCAGCAAAACUGCCCUACAUUGUAUUUUAAAAGGGACAAAAAUAAACUGUAAAAUGUUGCAUAAAAUGAGAAGUCCUACAGGCUGAUUUGGAAAAAGAUGAAAAACUUAAAAAGACAAGUACAGUCAAGUGCUGAAUGUGUCAGAACUACAGCCAGUGUUCUUCAGAAAUAGAGGUAGCAGACCCAGUUAGCAAAUGCUGACAGUGGACCACUUUGCUCUGCAUUUUAUUUAUUUUAUUAUUUUAUUUUUAGGACAAGUCCUGACAGCUCUUAGCCUAUAUUCCUCCUUAGUUAAGGGCCUCAAGUAACCCCUACCCAAGAUGAGGGUGUCACUUGGUUUUUGACAUUCUGCUAACCAUGAACUCACUAGGGUCACUCCAGUGUUCUCUACUUCACCCAUCUUCCUCAUCCUCACCUCUUAUUUCCUCUUCAGUCAUACAAUCGUAGGGACAGAAAGUCAUUUAGUCCAAAGGGAGGCAGAAAGUACAGAUCUGGAUCUAUUAUUAGAGCUCUCAAGUGAUUUGCAGAAGAUCAGGAAGGUUUCUGACACCUCUUUAUUGCAACAGCAACAUUACUCUUCCUCCACUCACACUUUUGCGCCAUUUGUGGUCAUGCUUUCUAAUAAAAAACAGAGAAGAUCCCCAAGCCUGAAGUUUACUCACCCCGGACCUAGUCAUGCUACAUCAGCAAAUCUGCUGCUACAAUGCCCACCUUUGCCUUCCUGGAUAGAGUCAGACUUUGACUUCCACUUCCAUGAAUUGUCUAAAUCCUGAGCAAGACUUGCUCACAAUCUUAGCCAAACCACUAGGCCUGCAGCCAUGCUGUAAGUGUGCUGGAAUACAGCUGCCAUCAGCCUGAUCUUGACAGCUGCACAAAGGACUCCAUGUCAUGUUUUAAAAUAUGCAUGCCAUCAGUUCUGCAGGGGACGGGGACAGCAGAGGACGAGUGCAGCACCAAGACUGACUUUGUCAGAACUUACAAUCAGCUGCUUGCUGCUACGGAUCUGUGCCAUGUCAAGGUAGCAUCCUUCUUUACAGAUGUUACUCAGAUCUCAGAUGUUGCUCAGAUGUUACUCAACUUAACCCUUUAGUAACUCCAUGUCAAUCUAGUCAGUUUAUCAACUAAAUACAUGUGAAAAUGGCCAGAGAACAAUAAAUCAUGACACAUGUUGUCAUGUGCAAGUAUAUCACAUUCAGCAUUCUACAUUGCCCAGGUGCUCUUUAGUCAUGCACAAAUGCUAAACUUCAAGUGUGGUUCAGAAACUAAAAAUGUAUGAACACUUUCUCUGGAGUGUUCAUUCAGCUGGGCUUGGAAAUUACAACCAAUUCUGACUCCCAUUAGAGUUACAGUUCACCUAUCACUAGCAAUUAAUUGAAUAUAUCUGAUCAUCUAAAAGAAAAGCCCCAGGCAGAUGUAAGGCCAAACCCACCAGCUUAAAUUUAGUCCACCAAAAUGUGUUCAAUUAAGUUUUUCAGACAAUGAGACAGGAUUAUCCACCAUGACUAUUAAAACAGCACAUAUUCUGCACUUACCAGUUUGACUAUGGCAAUGUGACUUUGUAUUUACUAUUCUAUAUCUAUAAGACGUCAUGGAAAGUUUUAGCUCGGGACAGUAGUCUAGCUGAAAAGUGACUUAGGUUCUUACAUGUUUUCAGGUGAAAGUGCACCUUUCCUGUGAUCUAUGUCAUACUUUUCUUACAAUUACAUGCUGAAGAACUGACAUUAUUUUUCAUUUUUUUCUAGUCCCUUUAAAAAAAAUCUUUAAUCUUUUAAUUUGCAUUGAUAUAGUAAAAAUAACCAGACAUAUAUAUACAACAAGCAACUGCCAACCUCAGCUCAGAAUGUUCUCAUACCAGAUUAGUUCAGAUGAAUAAAAAACUUUGAAAUACACACGUUCACUGCAGAAUGCUCUUCAGCUUUGUAUUAAUAACAGUAUUGGAACAACUGUUAUCAAAGAUUGCAACAGGCUGUACCUUAGUCCAAGCAGGAUUAUAAAUCACCUGAAAGAAAGUUUUGUAUUUCUGAGUAAAGAACAUUCCUGACUCCCUGCUCAGCUUGCACCUGAGUCUGUAUAAAAAGUAGGAACACAGAAAGUGUUUGAGGGCUAACAACCUUCAGUCCCUGAGAGUAAGACCCAUGGAACAAACAACCCAAAGAACCUGUGUCCAAAACAAACAACCACCCACAUGUACAGAACUGUGCUGCAAGUUAUCAAUGAAGAACCAACCACUCUCUACACCGGUUCGUUUCUGGCGAGCAACACUGAACAUGUCAGUUCUCACCAAUGUCACUUAAGAAUAAAGGUAAGUUUAUAUGUCAUGAAGCCAGCCCAAGGGCUGGCUGACUUCCCAGUGCUGAUUAUGUUAUGCGUAAUAUCAGUAAACACAGGACAUGACAGCUAUUGGGUUGCUGGCAGAUGAUUAUAUUCUCUUGCAAGUUUUCAGGAUGGAUUGACCUCAGGGUUCAAAUUCAGUUGCAACAAUGGAAGGACCUGACCUAAGGAAACUAAUGAGUAUCUACUCACAGGCGACGAUCAGUAAUCAAAAUGCAGGAAAAUAUGAUUGAGUCUCAUGUGAGAAACUUAGCCAUCUUCACGUAAUUCCUCUAAGGAAAUCACAAUUAAUUUGCAAAUAUAUGCAGGACAUUUAACAAGGGGUCUGUGUAAUUAUACUCUUCAGCACAAAUCAGAGUGAUUCAGCAUGCAUAUACUUGUCAAUAUGACAUUAAGUAUUUCACUUCCAUUUAGAUGUGGUCAAAAAGAGCAAGGUGUAAAGACAACACAAGAUGAGAGGGAACAUUGUGUUACACUCGUGGUACAAAGGAUAAUGAUUCCCUAAGUACCCAGAUAGAGUUAGGUGCCGCUUUCAUCAAUGCCGCUUAUGCAAUUCCAUAGGAUUAUGCUGACUGGUGACAUUUAAAGGUGAUCUUAGAAGAGAUCAAAGGAGUUUCUCAACAUGGAGGAAGAGCUUUCUCAUGUUACACUUCUGCUACUAAGGUACAAUGCUGCCUAUACUGUUUAAGCUUAAGCAACCUGCAGUAUCUUGUACUUCUGCUCAAGAAAAACUAACUUUGAUACUAUUGAAAAUAGUAUUGCAAUGAUACCAUGUUUGGGGUUUGUGUUUGGAGGGAAGGCAGGAGAUCACUCAGAGUCUGGAACAUUCAAGUAAGUAGGAAGGACUUGUUGACAGGACCAUGAAAUGACAGCUGGUUAUGGUGGGAAUUCUGUCAGUUGACAGUUGGAAGAAUAAAGAGAUGGUGGGUAGAAGUUAAUCCAUGGAAUAUGGCUUGGAAUAGAAUGAAGGGAAUACAAGUUUUCAAAGAAACUCAUUCUUAAAGGGUCUAAGCACCCACUGUAAACUUUAUGCCUACACAGCUGUGAAAGGUUUCCAUCCAUCCAUCCCUUAUUAUCUAUACACAAACCAUUACAAAAACCAAGCAAUAGCUAAGAAAAGCAGAAUGUUAUCAUUCCCUGUUGGAUAAGAGACAAGAACAUAUUACUAAUUUACAUUAUUAGCAAAAUGUGAAAGAAAGACAGACAGGAAAUAGGUUUCUGGUUGUCAGGGAAACCCAGUAGGCCAAACUGUGAAACAAGCUGAAUAGUUUGCUCUGCUUUUAUACUUAAAUGAGCAAAUGACUAGAAUAAGUUCAGCACAUGCAUUUCUUAGAAGGAGCCACAGCCUGGGAGAAAGAUGCACUGCAGCUGUCAUUGCUGCACAGAACUAAAAAUAAUAAUUAAACCACAAGAUUUGAACAGAAGUCCAAAUCCAAAUGACAUCUAAAGGUUCCGUCAAACAUACUUCAUUAAAAGCUGACUGCAAAGAAGCUUAUCAAUGCUGUUAAAUAAAUAGUGCUUGAGUGCCGCCUUGAGGAACAACUGGUGCCUGCAGAUCAAAGCAGCUUCUGCGGCUAAAUUCAGCUGUGUAUGUAAAGGGGCACUUCCUCGACCAAGAAAAGAAAACAGAAAAGGUAAUUCCAGUAUAAUCCCAGCCAGUGACUCUAGUUUAAGCUGGAUGAAAGCACAAACACAAAUGCAACUUGCAAACACACAUAUGCACAGAACUGUUCAUUUAUUGCUGUGCCCUCCUUCAGAAAAAAUACAUUUGUGUGCCUUACUUUUCUGCUUCUAAAACAAUAGGGUCUAGAUAUAACUAACACUUGUGAUUCUACAUAUGAAAAGAUACUUUUCACAGAAUGAAAUUGGAGACAGAGAUAACUGCAAAAACAUACUUUAGACAAGCUCAAUGCCUUGUUGACCUACCAGUGAAGGGAAAAAGGAACGUGAUAUGAAAAACAGCAUUAGUCAUGCAAACCUAUACCUAUCUACUCAAAAGUAUGCCACAGAGAUGCCAAUCGGACUUAUUCCCAGGUAAGGAGGUAGAGAAAGGCAGCCUACCUUUCUCAGGAAGAUGAACUAAAUACUGGACUACUGCUGUAGUUUGUAAUUUAAAGAAACUACAAUGUUUCUGGGAAACAUCUCCGUUUCACAGAAACCGGAGAUUCACAGUGAACCAGUGGUUCAUAGAAACCACCAACCUGAAAACUCUCUACAAAAGUGAAGAUGAAAGAAAACUAGUAGAUGUACUCAGAAAUUGGUGGGGAUGCACUUUUGGGGUCUGGUUUUGCAAGAAAUCCAUAUCUGUAACUGUGAUUUGAAAUGAGCUCUGAGAUGGAAUUUGGGGUCAUCUGGCAAGAUUAAGCUUUGCUGGUUUGCACAUCCUUUGAGGGAGGACUACAAAAAUAUCUCCUUCCAUAAAGUUCCUUUCACUUACUGUUUUCAGGAUCUAGGCCCUUUACUGAAUUUUUUAAAAAAUAAUGCUUGUGUUUUACUCCCUAUAAAUAGUAUUUUAUUUUGCUUGAUCUUAAAGAAAUGCUCUGCUUCUCCAGCCUCAAGGUCUGAAAUAAUUUUUGUUGAGAUAUUAUUUUUCCAUAUCAAACUGGAGUCCUGUUGCUGUUGGGGAUGGCUUUUCAGUUCUUUUCUGAUUGUAAAGUAAAAGCAUUUUCCCAUUUAUCUCUUUUGGGAGCAGUAUUACAGUCAGAUGCAGAUAAGCUACUGCCUCCCCCAUACGUUUGUCUGGAAAUAGGGAAGAGCUUUUUCCUCUAAGUGCACUUUCGGCCACUACUAUUGUUCAUCUAUGUGAACAGUUCUGUACGGCCAGACUGGGCAUAUUCACCAUUUGGAACAAUGUUUUCCCUUUGGCAAGGAAUAUGAAAAAAGACCGAACCUGACUGCAAGCUGCAGGCUUGCUUUUACUUUCUAUGAGGGGAGUAACAGGCCUUUUCAAGGCAAAAGAACAACUAAGAAGGUUCAUUCAUUUCCCUGCUUUGUACUUUCCCAGGUUGUUCUAUUCCAAAAGGGACAUGUCUUCCAUUUUUUAAAGUUUCUGAGGAAUGCUACUUUGAUGUCUCUUAUGAGAUAGAGCACUGUUCUUCUGAGUGCUUUGCAAGAAAAUGUCCCUGAUCGCUUUGGAAGAUAGUUACCCAAUAUGUAAACACUUUCUAGGUUGAACUGCUACCUCAGUGAAUGACAAUUUAGCAGUUGGCAUGGGGACAAUGGCUGAAUCCAGUACACAAGUAAAGAUAGGCACGGGUACGUUUUCGGCUGUCUUUGCUGCUUGCUUAUUGCAAACUGAAGACAUUCAAACUCUGAAUUUUGGACUGUGUGGAUAGAUGUUGAAAUGACAUCUAAGCCAUUGCAUGGUAGUGUUACAUGUGAUGUUUCCAUUCAUUAAGGGAUCGGACAGAACAGCAAAAGAAAUGAUGAGUAGCUGUGAAGGAGCAAUUCUAACUAUAUGGCUGUUGGGUCAUUUGUUUAAAAAAUCUGUCUUGACAAGUUGUCACCCAGAGACAGGAAGAGACUGUAUUAAACUGUCUGAGCUACAGAAAAUAAUCUCUAGGGGUAUACCUUCAUUGACCAGAAUUAGUUCAUUUCUAAUACUAGAAAUGAAAUCUAGAGAACUGAGAGAAAAAUGGUUAACACAUAGGCUCCUUGUCAUGCACCAUAUAAUCCAUCUCAGUAAUUUAGGGAUGGAAAAAUCUGCUGCCCUCCAACAUUUUUAGACUCCAACUCCCAUGAACUCCGGGAGUAAUAUAGCAAUAUAGCUACCAGUCAGGUAUUCAAAACACCUGGAGGGCAUGUGUUGGUUCCAAGUUGUUUGUAUUCAUACAGAUAUUCUGUUUUGAAUAUUACUGGGUUUUAUGCCCUAUCAAUUCUAUAUUUUAAAAAAAACUAAUUAGGCUGUACACAUUCAUUCAGGAGUGAGUCCAACUUAUUUAUCAUUCUGAAUUAUGUUUAGGAUUGUGCUGUAAAUUGUGAAUACUCUAGUGAGUAAAUGGCUAUACAUCGUGUAUCAGAGAAUCAAAAUCUGAAAUGAAGAGUAAGUCCUUGCUCACAUAUAUCCAUCAGCUAAAGCCAGUUGCUCUUGUCCUGCCAGAUGUUACCUAUGGUUCCAACCCAAAGUAGCAAUGUAUCCAGUAUGCUCAGAGACCCACAUGAAUGCUAGAAUCUCAUGGAGGACCUGAGGGGUUUUACAAGGACAAAUGAAAUGCAAAAGCUCAAAUAAAAACAUACUAAAAA